rnacentral:rRNA from 1 species
GUCCACGCCGUAAACGGUGGGCACUAGGUGUGGGGCCAUUCCACGGUCUCUGUGCCGCAGCUAACGCAUUAAGUGCCCCGCCUGGGGAGUACGGCCGCAAGGCUAAAACUCAAAGGAAUUGACGGGGCCCGCACAAGCGGCGGAGCAUGUGGAUUAAUUCGAUGCAACGCGAAGAACCUUACCUGGGUUUGACAUGCACCAGACGCGUUCAGAGAUGGGCGUUCCCUUGUGGUUGGUGUGCAGGUGGUGCAUGGCUGUCGU